rnacentral:rRNA from 1 species
UAAGACGAAGGGGGCAAGCGUUGUUCGGAAUUACUGGGCGUAAAGGGCGCGUAGGCGGCCGAGUAAGUCAGGUGUGAAAGCCCUGGGCUCAACCUGGGAGUGGCACUUGAUACUGUUUGGCUAGAGAGUGGGAGAGGUUGGUGGAAUUCCCAGUGUAGAGGUGAAAUUCGUAGAUAUUGGGAAGAACACCGGUGGCGAAGGCGGCCAACUGGACCAUUUCUGACGCUGAGGCGCGAAAGCGUGGGGAGCAAACAGGAUUAGAUACCCUGGUAGUCCACGCUGUAAACGAUGAGUGCUGGACGUUGCGGAGCUUGCUCUGCGGUGUCGUAGCUAACGCGCUAAGCACUCCGCCUGGGGAGUACGGCCGCAAGGUUG